rnacentral:rRNA from 1 species
ACUAGUAAGCUGACGUGAGGAGAUCAUUA